rnacentral:rRNA from 4 species
UACGUAGGUGGCAAGCGUUGUCCGGAUUUAUUGGGCGUAAAGCGAGCGCAGGCGGUUCUUUAAGUCUGAUGUGAAAGCCCCCGGCUCAACCGGGGAGGGUCAUUGGAAACUGGAGAACUUGAGUGCAGAAGAGGAGAGUGGAAUUCCACGUGUAGCGGUGAAAUGCGUAGAUAUGUGGAGGAACACCAGUGGCGAAGGCGACUCUCUGGUCUGUAACUGACGCUGAGGCUCGAAAGCGUGGGGAGCAAACAGG